GUCUGGAUAGUUCAGUUGGUAGAACAUGGGACUUUUGAUCUCAGAGUCGUAAGUUCAAGACC
rnacentral:tRNA from 1 species